GAUGGCACAACAAUCAAAUACUUCAGCUUUUCACCGAGCAAGAAAACACACUCCAUUUCAAGACAUAAUAAACACAUCGGCCGCAGGCCAAGACACCAAUUUAGUUCUAGCGCCCACAAAUGUUGAAGAUACUUCGCAGGUUGAUCAACCUAGCCAAAAAAAAUAGGGAGGUCAAGGAUGGUAUGGUCGAAUGACUGAACAACAAAGAGUUGAGUACCUACUCAAACAACGCGAAGCCCGACAACGAAAACGAAUUGUUGCCGACUCCUUUAAGAAUGCUCAGGCAUACCCACCUGUUAUUUCCAACCCCGAACUAUACAGUGGCACAAGUGAACAGGGUAUUACAAAUUCUACAUUGCAGCAAUCUAAUCUCACCCAAGGUACAUACAUUAUAUUUAUAAUCUGCUAAUAAGAACAUAUUUAUGGACUUACAUUACCAACAGAAACAUGGGUUUGACUGGAUGUUAAAAUAAAGAGGCCAACCUAAAGAUGAAGCUGCAACUCCUACAUGGAACGGACAUUCUUCGCAGGUUGAUCAGUCUGCCAAAACAAAGCAGAGUGGUAAAGUGUGGUAUGGCCGAAUGACUGAGCAACAAAGAGCAGAGUACCUACUCAAACAACGUGAAGCCAUGCAACGAAAACGAGUUGCUACUGACUCAGAAAAAAUGUCAAGCAUCCUCUACUGGUGUUCAUUAUGAAACGUACCAUGAAGAGCGACACAGUACUGAAGAAAUAUUAUUGCUAUAUAUCUCCUCCAGGGGCUAUUUAUAGGAUUUUUGGUUUUCACAUGUUUGAUGUCAGUCCGUCAGU